UGCUAGAGAGAAUCUCUUAACACCCUUUUGUGUGGUUAGUUUCUGGGAGUAAGUCUUCCUAAUUUGCCAUUUAGCAAUUCCUUUCGGCCCGAAAGUAGAGAAGAGCCUUACUCUUCUUAAUUGUCCGGAGCGUGAGUUCUCCUCCCCUAAAUCCAGAGUUUGUCCACCCUUACCGCCUGUUGAGCUCCAAUAUGUAACGGAUCUAUCUUGGCUGUGGAAAGAUAGCCUUGUAGCUCGAAUAUGGAGGACCUUGGGGUUCUUUGUUGCCUUUUCUGUAUAAGCGACCGAUCUUAGGCAAAAGUGUUUGCCAGCAAGCUCUCCUUCGCAUCUUCCUCAAGCAACGUUUGGCCAAAGAUCUUUGUGGCUUUAAGCAGCCGAUUUUAGUUUGGUUGUUGCUUGAGUGCUUGUAGGUCCGAUGCUUCUAGUGUUUUUUUCGCUCUCCGGUGACCUUCCAGCCCUGAGGUAUUUCCCAAGCCGCAGUGCCAAACCUAAGGCGUCUUCUGCGAUCUGGCAAGCUAGAGUUUUGAGUUUCGGAUUGGGGCUUGGGCUUUUAGGCUCUCUGCUUUGUAUGUCUUGUUUUUGGGCCUGAAUGUUUAUGUUGGCCUGGGUGUUUUCUUUAGGCUUAAAGCCUGUUAUCAAUAUUUUACAGCCUUCGACCAAAAAAAAAACUCAAGGUCAAUUUACACCAAAGGAACUGCAACAGUCAAAAUACUUUUAAACUGGAGAAAUGCACAAAUACAAAGAUCCGAUUGAACUA